CCCGCCGCGCGCGCGGCGCGCAUGCGCAGGCCGGGCCGGAGGGGCGCUGACAGGGCCUCACCCUGCCCGCGCGUGCGCACGGGCUUCCCGCCAGCGGUUACCAUGGAGACCGCCUCCCCCUCCCCACACGCUGCUCUCUUCUCGCUCCCCUCUUCUCGUUCCCCUCACGAGGCCGGCGGUGGCUUCUCCCGUCCCGUCCCCAUCCCGCUCUCGCCCUCCGGGAGAACGGCCCGGCGCCUGCUGAGGCGAACCCGGCCCGGCGGCCACCGGGGGCAGCCGCACGCCGCGGAAAGCGGUGGCGGCCCGGCCGCCUCACGGCCCCGGCCUAGGGCGGUGAUGUCCAGUCAAACCGGGGAGCGGCUGGUUAGGGCCUCGGCUCCGGCUGUCGCCGAGGUGAAUGGCCAGUCCGGGACGAACACCGGCGAAGGGGAAAGCACACGGCGUAGUAUUCCUUGUUCGUGUUUUUAAGGAAUUCUAAUAUAUGAAGUCUUCACAUGUGAAACGUCAGGCACACCUGUGCAGCUGCAGCCCGUUACAACUGUGAUGUUUUGGGGUUAUAAUGGCUAUUGUGCUGCUCAUACGGAAAUUUAUGGAAAUACUGGAAUUUCAAGGUGAGCAGUUACGUAGCUCAAGCUUUCCCCAAGCUUAUCUGUCAAAAGAAUGACAUUGCCUUUUUAUUUUGUACUUUAAUCCUUGGAGUCGGACAGGAAAACUUGAGCCUUUUUUCCCGCUACGUUCAGCUCUGGCUCAAAGUCCUCAUACUGAGUCUUACCUUGGAGUCAGGAUCAACAAUAACUUCCUCCAGAUCAUCAGUUAAUUGUGGCCAAAGGUCUGCAGCUGUGGCAAGAACCAAAAUCCCUCCUGGGCAAGACUUCUCAACAGGCCAAGAUGCAGCAGAGGGAAGAGGUUUAGUGGCACAUGGAACACACCAGAGCUUCAUAAACAUCAAGGCAGACACUUCACUAACAACUACAAAUCAGUUCUAAUGGACUGAGGGGUGUAUUUUCUGCAAGGAAUCCCAUCAGGAGAUUUACCCCCGUCAGUACAAGGACUCGAAACUGAUGUGAAGAAAUCCUUUGGUUUGUGUCUUUCAACACUUCUGCUGGUUUAUUCAAGUUCUUUCUCAAGUUGCUGCACUGAUGGGAAUUAGGAACCCUCUGAAGAAAAUCCUGCAAGGACUUGCAAGUGCCCGUUGCACAAACAGACUGAAAAUACUCCAGUUACGUACUGAGGCACGACCAAGCCCAGGCACAGGAGCAUCUGGCUGCACAAGGCCCUAAACUGAACUCAGAAGCACUCAAAAGCCAGAGGAAUUGUGGCAUUCCCGAUGAAGGUGGAUCCAAAAGCACCAACACUUACUGGUUCACCCUGGCUGCCAAACAGGUAUCUCUUUCACAGGGCAUUUCAAGGCCUCUGACCAUUCCUAAAGACAACAAGGGUGUGGUUUUCCAGUCACUGUUUGUUCCCAACAUCAGAGGACACAGCCACAGUGACAGGCACAGAGAGGAGAAGCAGCCCUCCCAAAAUCAGGCAGCUGAUCAGAGGCAGGCUGUCUGGCUCUCCACGUAGACCUACUGGACUUCCACAAGCAAUUUUUGACUCAUUCUCGUUCCCUCCCCAGCAGGGAGCUGCUCUGUGUCAGAUAUGGCUCAGGGCCCCAGUGCUUCAGACUCCAGCAGGAAAAUCUUGGCUUAAUUUAAAGUGUACUCACCCCUGAGUUACAACUGUGUGGGUGCAGGCAGGUCCCUGAAGCAGCAACACUUGGGAUCCACGCUGUGAGAGGCAGGAAAUUUGCUGUCACGCUGUGGUUUUGGGUUGUCUCUGCAGAAAACAACGAUUAUGGGACUUGUGAACACGAUUAGGUGACAUUAAAAGGUUUUUAAAGUAACUGCUUGGAUUCCCCAUGCCAUGGGAUUUAUAGUAAAUGUGAUUAUCUGCAGAUCUAUGAAUACACAAAUGAUGUAUUCUGUAUAAUGUUCAUAUUUAUCCCCAGUGUGCUGCAGUCAGCAUUUGUAUUUCACUUUCUCUUUGCUCUCUCUCUCAGGGCAGAUCCCCUGGUCUCUGUUAGGACUUGUAACACUGGUGGCUCUUUGGCAGCUCCAGCUUAAUUUUUAAAGCUUUUCCAUACAAAUUGAUCAAUCCAGGUCAGCAGUGAUCAGAGAAGCAGCCACAGAGGCCAAUUCCAGUGAGGAGAGUUUGGGUUUGCAUUAAUUUAUUGUGUUAAUUUCCUUCUCAUGGACUUUGGCCAUGCUGGAUGACAGAGCUCAGCACAGUACUCAGAACAAUGUCUUGAAAGAGCCAAACAAGCAAGAAGGCAGCACUUUCCUCAAAAGUGGUUUGGUUUGCUUUAGGGUAAAGUGGGAAUUUUGGGAUGGUACAGGCCACUAUAUUCAUCUCCUCUUGUAAGCAUGUUCCCAUUCAGUAAGUCACAGGGCAGAAGUUCAAGUGGUAUAACCCAAAAUUCAUCUUGUUCUCCUGGGCAGUGAAGUGCCCAUUUCCAAGGAGAAUCAGCAUCAUUCAGUAAGGACACUGGGCAUUAAAGGAUCUCUAAACACAGUAAAAAUACAAUUCCCCAACUGAAAAA